AUCCAGCAGACGCUCAAUGACUGGAGCUCGUCUUUACAGGCUGGAAACAGUUAUCGACCUGGGAUUCAGUUUUCAAUUAUGGAUCAGGAUGAACGCUAGCUACAGGCUUAACACAUGCAAGUCGAGGGGAAACGACAUCGAAAGCUUGCUUUUGAUGGGCGUCGACCGGCGCACGGGUGAGUAACGCGUAUCCAACCUGCCCACCACUUGGGGAUAACCUUGCGAAAGUAAGACUAAUACCCAAUGAUAUCUCUAGAAGACAUCUGAAAGAGAUUAAAGAUUUAUCGGUGAUGGAUGGGGAUGCGUCUGAUUAGCUUGUUGGCGGGGUAACGGCCCACCAAGGCAACGAUCAGUAGGGGUUCUGAGAGGAAGGUCCCCCACAUUGGAACUGAGACACGGUCCAAACUCCUACGGGAGGCAGCAGUGAGGAAUAUUGGUCAAUGGACGAGAGUCUGAACCAGCCAAGUAGCGUGCAGGAUGACGGCCCUAUGGGUUGUAAACUGCUUUUAUAAGGGAAUAAAGUGAGUCUCGUGAGACUUUUUGCAUGUACCUUAUGAAUAAGGACCGGCUAAUUCCGUGCCAGCAGCCGCGGUAAUACGGAAGGUCCGGGCGUUAUCCGGAUUUAUUGGGUUUAAAGGGAGCGUAGGCCGGAGAUUAAGCGUGUUGUGAAAUGUAGACGCUCAACGUCUGCACUGCAGCGCGAACUGGUUUCCUUGAGUACGCACAAAGUGGGCGGAAUUCGUGGUGUAGCGGUGAAAUGCUUAGAUAUCACGAAGAACUCCGAUUGCGAAGGCAGCUCACUGGAGCGCAACUGACGCUGAAGCUCGAAAGUGCGGGUAUCGAACAGGAUUAGAUACCCUGGUAGUCCGCACGGUAAACGAUGGAUGCCCGCCUGUUGG
rnacentral:rRNA from 1 species